rnacentral:rRNA from 1 species
AGUGAACGCUGGCGGUAGGCCUAACACAUGCAAGUCGAACGGCAGCACAGUAAGAGCUUGCUCUUACGGGUGGCGAGUGGCGGACGGGUGAGGAGUCCAUCGGAAUCUACUUUUUCGUGGGGGAUAACGUAGGGACACUUACGCUAAUACCGCAUACUACCUACGGGUGAAAGCAGGAGAUCUUCGCACCUUGCGCUAUUGAAUGAGCCGAUGUCGGAUUAGCUAGUUGGCGGGGUAAAGGCCCACCAAGGCGACGAUCCGUAGCUGGUCUGAGAGGAUGAUCAGCCACACUGGAACUGAGACACGGUCCAGACUCCUACGGGAGGCAGCAGUGGGGAAUAUUGGACAAUGGGCGCAAGCCUGAUCCAGCCAUACCGCGUGGGUGAAGAAGGCCUUCGGGUUGUAAAGCCCUUUUGUUGGGAAAGAAAAGAAGCAGGUUAAUACCCCGCUGUUCUGACGGUACCCAAAGAAUAAGCACCGGCUAACUUCGUG